CUAUAGGGAUAACAGCAUUAUAUUUUUUAAAAGUUCAUAUUAAAAAAAAUGAUUGUGACCUCGAUGUUGAAUUAUAUUUUCUUUAUUAAUGCAAUAAUUAUAAAAGUAGAUCUGUUCGAUCUUUAAAAUAUUACAUGAUUUGAGUUCAAACCGGUGUAAACCAGGUUGGUUUCUAUCUUUUUAUAAAUUCAUAUAUAUAUAUAUAUAUGUAUAUAUAUAUAUAUAUAUAUAUAUAAAUUUUUCAAGUACGAAAGGAAAAAAAAAUUUUUAUUUUAAUUAAUUAGCAAUUAAUAUGCAUUAGAUUUAGAAUCUAAAUAAACUAUU
rnacentral:misc_RNA from 1 species